rnacentral:rRNA from 1 species
UACGGAUGGGGCGAGCGUUGUUCGGAAUCAUUGGGCGUAAAGGGCGCGUAGGUGGUCCUGUAUGUCUGCCGUGAAAGGGUACAGCUUAACUGUAGCUUGUCGGUAGAAACUGCAGGACUUGAGGCUGGGAGGGGCUGGUGGAAUUCCCUGUGUAGCGGUGAAAUGCGUAGAGAUGGGGGAGAACACUCGUGGCGAAGGCGGCCAGCUAGACCAGUUCUGACACUGAGGCGCGACAGCGUGGGGAGCAAACAGG